ACUCAAAUGAAUUCUGUGAAUGCUUACAUCUAGAUUCUGGCAGGUUAAGUACGCAUACCAACAAAUAACUUUAAAACACAAUGCAAACAACAGGACAUGCUGGAAAUACCGGUGUAGCCUAUUCCAUGUAAACAGCGUCGUUUGUUGUAGUUUUUGUAAUUAAAGAUGAGUAAUCAGACUUAUUUAAAGUCCGCAUGCACACCCAUUUAAAAGGUCCCUGACACUGCAAUUAUAAUUAAAACUGAACUAAAUAAACGCCCUCAGAAGAACCUCCACCCAAAGAGGAACCACCUUUUUUUGUGUCCAUUCUUUCUAUUCGGAACAUUUCUCAGGUGACACAGGAAGUGACCGUAACCAAUACAUAAUUCACGUCGGUUACUAAGGAGGCGAAGUGUAAAUAAACAGAAGCGCGGCUGUGGUUAUGAGGAUGACAUUGAAAGCUUUUCUUGUGAUGUUUAAUCAGAAUUAUACGCAAAUAGGAUUUGUUUUUAGCAACGCGAUGAAUUACAAUUAACACGCGUUCAGAGCGAAUAAAUACCUCUUGCUUGAGUUCAGACCCGAAGCUAGCUAGCUAAGUGUCAUUUUAAUUGUAUUUCUUUUAUUUUUCAGAGGACAUGAAGGCUCAUAAACAGCAGGAACGCGACACCAAAGGACAAUUUCUUACACCCACGGUAAACAGCUACAAGAUGCAUUCAGCACCGGUGAAAUCCCUGCUCUCAGAGAAACUCAUACCCAGGCCUCUUGACAUACGGUUUCCGACAGACCUCACGAAAACCAACCUGGACGUUUUCAGAGCCAAUCCAUCGAGGCAAGACUGCAAGUUGGGCAUGUACGGUAAAACCCUGCGUACCCCAACGUUCGUGAAAGAGUUCACAGGGCCGGAGAUUGCUCUAACGCCCCCUCCAGUGACCGUCAAGAGGGGGAAAGCAAAGCGAGUCAACCACAACGCAGAGCUCACCUACACACACAGCAAGGCCCCUGUCCUCUUAAACACACUCGGUGAUCCAGUGGCACCGAGUGACAGAUCUGCUCCGGGUUUUCCCGUCUCCCUCUGCUGUAGGAAUGAUUAUCCUUUCAUCCUGGACAGACUUGACCUUGACCGUCGUGACUUGAUUGAAUGCCCGAACCUGGACGGGAUGAAUAAGCUCCGCGUCCUCAACCUGCAACACAACCGGCUCUCUCACCUCCCACACCUGGCUCACCUGCGACACCUUGUCUUCCUCAAUCUCUACGACAACCGUUUGAUCGACAUGUCGGCCGCAUCACCUCUCUGCUCCCUUCGCGUGCUCGUGCUCGGCAAGAACAGAAUUCAGAGGAUAUGUGGUCUGGACACCCUGACAAAUCUCGAUGUGCUGGACUUACAUGAAAACCAGAUCAGUAGGAUCGAGAACGUUUCUCACCUAGCAGAACUCAGAGUUCUGAACUUGGCAGGAAACUACAUCUCCAGGAUGGAGAACCUGCAGGGCCUGGAAUCAUUGAUCGAGCUCGACCUCAGACUCAACCACAUCUCCUCUGUAACGGAGGUGGACCGACUGCCCUGUCUCCAGCGUCUCUUCCUCAGCUCUAACAGCAUCAGCAGUUUUGAUGAGCUGGCCUGUCUGGGAGACUCGUGCUCUCUGAGUGAGCUCACCCUGGAUGGGAACCCUGUAGCUCAGGAGUCAUGCUACAAACAGACCGUGCUGCGCUGCGUGCUUCCACUCCGGCUGCUGGACAUGAAGCGCAUCACAGUAAGAGUGAAAGAGGAGGACAGACGCGUGGCAAAUCUUUUAGCGCGAAAGGAGGAUGAGAAGAAACGCGAGAGCCACAAACAAGCCGCUCACAAGGAGAAGCGGCGACUGGCCAUCCGUAAUGCAGCGCAGCAGUGGGAGGACUCCAGGAGCUUUCUCGAGCUUCCAGCACAGAACGGCGCCAAGGAAGAGCUGAGCCCAGAGAACAGCCCCGCCCACAGCCCAGGACAGACCAAUGGGAUCACUCAGGAGCCGUCACCCGAUGACCUCAGGCGAGAUAGAGGGAGUCCUCUCACUGUUCCUGAGCGUCCAGCAGGGGGCAAUGACGGUAAAGCGCGCUCUAGCAGCCGCCCCAACAGCCCCCGAGACCCCAGACUCCAGGAGGCAGGGGGCGCCAGCGUGCAGAGUCUGUCUCUGUCUGAGAGCCACGUGGCCGAGCUGGACGGCGAGACGGUGCGUCUGUUCGGUCCGGGGGCUCUGGAGACUCUAGAGAGAGGCUGGGGGGUGCAGACAGCCAGCACCGUCACUACCAUCGCCUUCCGCUAUAUCCAGUUCGACAGCAUCGUGCCCACUCUGCCACGCAUUCGCCUCAAAUUCCCCAACCUCACGCACCUGAUCUUUAUGGAGACUAAUAUAACACGGCUGCUGCAAUUAGCAGCUCUAGCGCAGGUAAAGAGGCUGGAGCAGGUGACCAUCGAUCCGGAAGGAAACCCCGUAGUGAGCCUGGCUCUGUGGCGAGCCUUCCUCAUCUACAGACUCAACCACCUGAACCUGCAGAGAAUCAACGGCACGGAGGUGACACUGAACGACGUCAUGGCGGCCGAGCGCCUUUUUGGGACCCUGGGUCACGUGGCUUCGACGGAAACGCCACACUGUCGACUGCUUCUGCUGCUGGAGGAGUCUAGGAUGGUACCUGCUUGGCAUCAGCAGGAGUUCCUCAUCCCGGCCAAACCCACCUCUGACUCCAUCUGUCAGCUCUGUUCAGUAAAGCUGCUUAUGGCACCAGACAGCACUGCAGCGCAAAAUUACCCAUUAGUUCCUCUGUAGCUUCACAGUGCUGUCACAUUUAAGCCGGCGCCUCACGAUAACAUCUCAGAAACCUAUCAGACCCAGUUUCCCGAAACCCGUUGGACCCAGAUGUCUGAAAUUCUCAGCCACACUGACGGUGUGGUGGCGAUAAAUCUUUUCAAAAGCAAUGGAUUAGUAAACGUAUUCCUUAAGGGUAUCUAUCAUCCGUACGGAGUAAAACGCAUGGAGUGUGCUGUUAUGGGGAAAAUAAUCAACGACCGAGUGGCGUGAUCCAGCCUGACGCCAUUACCAUCCUGAAGUUGAUUAUUUCCUAUAACAGCAUGUCCCUAAGUGUUUUAUUCCUCUUAUACCACAGCAAUUCUCCCAACCUAACAAUAUAUUAUUGAUUGAAGAAUGACAUUUUUAUCUGUUUAUAGUUACGUUGUGGGACGUCCAUGAAAAACAUCUGCGCUAAAAACGUCGUUCCCUCACCAGCCUCUUGGAGAUAAUAAGACAGAAGUAUGCAUCUUGGCAUGUUAUUAAGAAACCUUUACGUCUUUCAUAUGUGAGUGUUGGAGAACUGGAGACUCGUUCCUAAGCUCACAGAAAACGUCACCCCUUUCUGAUGAAUCGGAUUUGAGAGUACAGUAGCGCCGUGGUAUAAUGGUAUAACGGAAGUCUUGUGAUUAGCUUCUCGUAGAUUUUCCUUCCUGUGGCACCCCGUGAGGUGCCAAAAGGCUGUGUGUGUGUGUGUGUGUGUGUGUGUGUGUGUGUGUGUGUGUGAAUAUUUUAUAGCUGUAUAUGAGAGUGUGUACACACAUACUGUAUGGCAGUGUGAUGAUGGCAGGCCAGUGCUUGUUCAAGGCAGCUGCCAUUUUUAGCCCAUGAGAGAGGGAGAGAGAGAGAGAGAGAGAGAGAGAAAGCGAGAGAGAACCUAAGCAUCUCAGGCUCCAGGAAGAGGCAGCUGCAGUUCUUGCUGGAGGGCAGAGUUCGCAGGUUCGGUUUGAGCCCUGAAGAGCUGAGGGAGAACGGGAAGCUGUUGGGGGAGAGCAUGAGCCGCGCACUCUUUAACUACCACAGCAAGGAUUCCAGC